rnacentral:sRNA from 1 species
UUAGUAAGGUUUAUGACCUUGGUCUAUUUGACAUCCCACCUAAAUGUAUCAUCUAAUGAACCAGGUUCUAUGAAUACACAGGUCUGUGCAAUGACUUUGAUGUGUUUGACAUUCCACUAUUUAUCACGUGACUGGGACUGCUGUUUCAGACAUUCCAUGCUAAAAGUUUAUCAUUUAGUUUUAUGAAUUGAUUACGUUGAUGAAUUAGGAAAAAUUGAAGUUCACAAGGGUCAAUAGUUCAUGACCUUUGUGUCUUAUUUCAUACAGUGACAUUAUGCCCUUAGAAAUGUGUUUGUCUGUUACAGACAUUUUUAUUACUUCUCGUAGACACCAAAUGACCUACAAACCAAUAGUUAGCUUAUCUGUUAAGUAUCGUCAAGUUGUGUAGUGGAGGCAUGUUGACACACUAUAUAUGGUAAUGUUGACAUUUAUACGUUUGUUUAUUACUGUUUCUGCACAAAGCAUUACUUUAGAAUAACACAUGCUCUUAUUCCGUGUGACGUCAUUCACUUCAAGGCAUUUAUAAGUUAUUUAUAAGCUAUGUAUAAGUUAUUGUUUUUUUAUCAGGCACUGGUUUAGGAGGAGGACUGUUUUCUGUGUAUAUUGGACUGUGAUAGCAUGUAAUGUGAAAUACAUAGAACUGAAUUU